rnacentral:rRNA from 1 species
UAUGAACGCUAGCGGGAGGCUUAAUACAUGCAAGUCGAACGGUAACAGGUGUAGCAAUACGUGCUGACGAGUGGCGCACGGGUGAGGAACACGUACGCAAUCUGCCUCUGACUGGGGGAUAGCUCCGGGAAACUGGGAUUAAUACCCCGUAACAUUACGGAAGGGCAUCCUUCUGUGAUUAAACCUCCGGGGGUCAGAGAUGAGCGUGCGUCUGAUUAGGUAGUUGGUAGGGUAACGGCCUACCAAGCCAACGAUCAGUAGCUGGCGUGAGAGCGCGACCAGCCACACGGGAACUGAGACACGGUCCCGACUCCUACGGGAGGCAGCAGUAGGGAAUAUUGGACAAUGGCUGAAAAGCUGAUCCAGCCAUCCCGCGUGAAGGCAGAAGGUCCUAUGGAUUGUAAACUUCUUUUCUCUGGGAAGAAAAGGCGGGUUUCUACCUGCUCUGACGGUACCAGAGGAAUAAGCACCGGCUAACUCCGUGCCAGCAGCCGCGGUAAUACGGGA